UCCCCAAAGUUGCAGCUCGGACGACAUGGCUGGCUGAGCACACAGGAAGUUUCUCGAACUACUUUGUGCACGCGCAAUUGAAGUUGUGCUCAAGGUGCAAGCUCGGAGGACGCAGAUGACGCAUAGCCGCGCUGCUCCGCGCAGAACGGACUCUGCCAAAGUUCUGCUGGCACGACAGGUGCGACGGCUUCCGACGACCAAUCAGAGACCAGAUCCCAAAAACACAAAAGCCACCAUUCCGGUUGGCUUCCUGCGGCCACGUUGUCGUUUCUUCCUUCAAAUUGCGUCGAACUGGUAUUUGAAAGACCAGUUCAAAGUAAUCCAAACGUGACUUGCAUUACGUAACAUUUUAAUAGGCGUGAAUUCGAUGUUGACCGUGAUCGAUCUUUUAUAUUUUAACAAACUCAACAAUGCGUCCGGCUAGGCUCAACAACACAAAUGUUUCAUGGUUUGAAUAACUGGGUGACAUAAUUAUCAUCAUCAUCAUCAUAAUUUAAUGGUACAAAAGAGAGCAAAGGUAUUACAGGAAAUAUUUAACGUAACUCUCGAGAUUUGGGUGAGCUCCCUGCCGGCUUCCGUGGUCCAGGUAGCGUCACGUGACCAAACACGCACCAGGAAGAAGCGGAGCACACACAAAAAAAAACAAAUUUGCAAGGUUUAAAGAAGUGGGUCAAGAAAUACAAUCCCGUUAAGAGAUUUACGAUGAGGUGUUGGUGUUUGGAGGGGGUCAUUUUGUGCCUUUUCCAGUGAGCGUCCGUGAGAGAGUGCGGCCACAAGCCCCAGGCCAUCCCGGGCAGCACGAGCGCCACCAGGACGGACGAAAAGAGGUUGACGGCAUUGUUGUCCAGGAUGGGUCUGCCGCUGAUCCAGUGCGUCGUGGGCGACUCGUAGCUCACCACCUUCCCGAUGCUGGCAUCAAAACCUGCCGACACACCAACACAACCCGUGACACCUUUUCGUUCGUGCGGACCGGACCGAUGGCGCGCUUCUGUACCAGAGUACUGCACGCUGGCUCCCAGGAGGGAGUCCAGGAGGGAGCCCAGCAGGCCGGCCGCGCCCCCGUACAGCACCAGCGGCCACUGGGGGGCGCACUCCUGAAGCUCGUUCACGAACAGCACCUGUGAGGCCAAGUACGCCCCGCCCACUGCCAGACCGCCCAGGAAGCUGGCCGCCAGGCCCACGUGAGUCACGCCGCCGUUGGUUCCUGCCAAGCAAAGUUCAAACGUGUUCAUUUCCUGUCCAAAUGACACGCUUGCGAGCACGCACGCAUUCCAGUCCAGGUUUUGUUUUCCACACCUGCUUGGGAGUCCUGUGAAACUUUUCUUGUGGUUUUGAUUUUUAUUUUUUUUUCGCUCACCUUUAGGGACCUCCUGCCAGGUGGUGAUGAGCCUGGGCUGCGACGGGCUGAGGACGGGCCCCACCUCGGAGGCCCAGGUGUCACCCGCGCUGCACGCCAGCGCCCCCAGCAGCGACAGGCACAUCCACGACGCCGUGUACUGCCGGCCAAAGUCGAUGGCCAUCUCGCCGGGGCCCACCUGCCACCGCAAAAACCACCACACGCUCGACAACGUUUCAGAUUCAGUGCUCCUUUUCCAUGAGGCGUUCCCCUUUCGAUAACUGCCGUCGCUGCGGAUUAGUGCUUCACUUUUCACGCUUCUAGUAUUUUUGACGGUUCACUUCCAAUUGUUAAACCAUUUUUCAGAAGUAAAAUUUCAGUCUAAAAGUAGUUUGCCGUUAGAAAUUGAAAUUCCAACUCAAAUGGCAGAUGAGCUUCCGUUCAUUGGCGCCCUCUUGUGGCAUGCGUGUGUCAGUGAAUUUGAAAAAAAGAGAAAAAGAAAAA